AAUAAGCUCCGGUUAACUUCUUGCCAUACACCCCCGGAAAGACGAAGGAUCCAGGCCUUGUCCGGAUUCACUGGGUUUAAAGGGACCGUAGGCGGGACAAUAAUUCAGUGGUGAAAUCCUCCCGCCUAACCGUAGAAUUGCCAUUGAUACUGUUGAUCUUGACUAAGCUUGACGUGGGCGGAAUGUAACUUGUAUCGUUGAAAUGCAUCUACUUGUCAUAAAACACCGAUUGCGAAGGCAGCUCACUAAGUGCUACCUGACCCUGAGGCUCGAAAACGUGGGGACCCAACGGGAUUAGAUACCCUGGUAGUCCACCCCGUAACUAUGAUUACUC
rnacentral:rRNA from 1 species